UACAGAGGGUGCGAGCGUUAAUCGGAAUUCUGGGCGUGAAGCGUGCGUAGACGGCUAUCUAAGUCGGGUGUGAAAGCCCCGGGCUCAACCUGGGAAUUGCAUUCGAGACUGAAUAGCUAGGGUACGGUAGAGGGAAGUGGAAUUUCCGGUGUAGCGGUGAAAUGCGUAGAUAUCGGAAGGAACAUCAGUGGCGAAAGCGACUUCCUGGACCAGUACCGACGUUCAGGCACGAAAGCGUGGGGAGCAAACAGG
rnacentral:rRNA from 1 species